rnacentral:ncRNA from 1 species
UUAUUCUAAGGGCAAACUGUCCGAAAGGGCAGGACGCAAAGCAAUGGGCCUAAGGAUGGGGAUCAGACGCCUCUAGGGUUGCCAUGCCGCCAAA